UACGGAGGGGGCUAGCGUUGUUCGGAAUUACUGGGCGUAAAGCGCGCGUAGGCGGCUUUGUAAGUUAGAGGUGAAAGCCCGGAGCUCAACUCCGGAACUGCCUUUAAGACUGCAUCGCUAGAAUUGUGGAGAGGUGAGUGGAAUUCCGAGUGUAGAGGUGAAAUUCGUAGAUAUUCGGAAGAACACCAGUGGCGAAGGCGACUCACUGGACACAUAUUGACGCUGAGGUGCGAAAAGCGUGGGGGAGCAAACAGG
rnacentral:rRNA from 1 species